rfam:Triticum aestivum genome assembly, contig: Triticum_aestivum_CS42_TGACv1_scaffold_019313_1AS
GUAGUACUCCCUCCGUUCCAAAUUACUCAUCGAAGAAAUGGAUGUCUCUAGAACUAAAAUACAUCUAGAUACAUCCAUACCUGCGACAAGUAAUUCGGAACGGAGGGAGUAGUAU